rnacentral:lncRNA from 1 species
AUAAUUUUUGGGGGAUUUUUCGGCACGAUCCUAGCGUCGCGCUGCGCUCGGACAGGUUAUCCCUUCCGUCCCGCUAGAUUGAUGAGAUCAGGCAUCACUCGAAAAUGGCGCCGAAAGCGCUGAGGCUCCUCAUUCAAAUUCGUUAGAGCCAACCCCGCCGCCCCGGGGCAUGCCGGGAACGCGGGCUGUCUCCACAGCUGUCUCUGCCGCACCCCCCACCUCACCCUGUUGCGCAUGCGGAAAACUUCUACACUCCCACCCCCCCCCCACCCCCGCCAUGCCCCGGCACAUGCGCAGAAUCGUCGUUGCGCAAGGCUCUCCACUUCCUCGGUUCCAGUCUCGCGCGUGCGUGUGUGCCAGCGUCGCCCUUGUGCCGCGGUGGAGAUGUUCACCUUUCAGACACCACUCCGGGGACACACAAGUUCUCUACCUUUGAGAGGAAACAAAUUAGGGUCCAUCUUAAGCGUUUCGUAAAAACAAAACAAACAAAAAACGCCUUUAAAUAGACUCCUAACCACCGACGGUGCCUCUGAGGCUUGCAUGGCUGCUCUGGAACUUAAGAGUGCGCCGCUGUGGAGCCCUCGCCCUCCACCAGCGCCUCACAGAUCUGUCGCACCUAAGCCUCGAACCACCUCACGAGUGGUCUGCAAGCCCGUGGCUGGACUGUGACUUCUCCGGAGUCCUGUGCGGGAGUUUCUACUUGCGCAGAGCAGUGAGCCCGACACGGAGGUCAUGGUAAGUUCAGAGCAGCAUGUCCGCAGCGGAAUUGGAAAAACAAAAACAAAAACAAAACCCCGAAACGUUUGAGUCAUUCUGGGAGCUGUGGUCUGGGGCUCACGCCGCCGCCGGAGUCCUGUCGAAGUUCUCAAUGCGCGAGAACUGGGAAUGCCUAUGCCUUGUUUAAACUGGAUGGCCGGCAGGGAGGGCCAGAACCAGCGGUCAGUUGGGGUCCUAGCAGCAGCGUGACCAAGACAUACACUUAUUCUUGCAAACUGAGAUUUGAGCUCAUCCCUGGACUUCGCCCGACCUCUGCUGCCCGGGUUGCCCUUAAGGGCUUCCCACCAGAGUGCGCAGGGGCAAGAACCAACCGUUCGCGUUCGCGACUGCCUGGACUGAUAGUGUCCUUACCUCCUGGCUUGGCACCUUUGGGCACUCUGCUGCCAUGCAGAUGUCCGAUCGGAGCCCAGGGCACUAAGAAGCGACAGCUGAAAGAAACCUACGAGGGGCUCCCACACAGCGACAAAGCCACUGCAGGGCGAUCCGAUGGGAGUGCAGUCCUUGCCAUGUCCCAGACUAUUAGCUCAGCUGUGCCUCUGCCUCAUUUUCUGUUUUACUUGUUAUAG